UGGCCCCGGCCGAGGGGAGGCCCUAGCACAGGUGCUGCAUGGCCGUCGUCAGCUCGUGCCGUGAGGUGUUGGGUUAAGUCCCGCAACGAGCGCAACCCCGCCGUUAGUUGCCAGCGGUUCGGCCGGGCACUCUAACGGGACUGCCGCGAAAGCGGGAGGAAGGAGGGGACGACGUCUGGUCAGCAUGGCCCUUACGGCCUGGGCGACACACGUGCUACAAUGCCCACUACAAAGCGAGGCCACCCGGCAACGGGGAGCUAAUCGCAAAAAGGUGGGCCCAGUUCGGAUUGGGGUCUGCAACCCGACCCCAUGAAGCCGGAAUCGCUAGUAAUCGCGGAUCAGCCAUGCCGCGGUGAAUACGUUCCCGGGCCUU
rnacentral:rRNA from 1 species